rnacentral:rRNA from 1 species
GAACGAGAAAGCGGGGGCAACUCCGUGAGUAAAGUGGCGUACGGGUGAGUAACACGUAGCUAACCUACCCUUGAGUGAGGAAUAACCUGGGGAAACUCGGGCUAAUACCCCAUAACAUCCCGAGCAAUCGGGAGCAAAGGCUCGCAAGGGCCGCUUGAGGAGGGGGCUGCGGCCGAUUAGCUAGUUGGUGAGGUAACGGCCCACCAAGGCGAUGAUCGGUAGCCGGCCUGAGAGGGCGCACGGCCACACUGGCACUGAAACACGGGCCAGACUCCUACGGGAGGCAGCAGUGGGGAAUUUUGCACAAUGCCCGAAAGGGUGAUGCAGCAACGCCGCGUGAGGGAUGAAGGUCUUCGGAUCGUAAACCUCUUUCGACCGGGAAAAAUGGGCGGGUGUAGAGCCCGUUCUGAUGGUACCGGUGGAAGAAGCCCCGGCUAACUACGUG